CUCGUGUCAAAAAACUUCCAAGUCAAAAUGAUAAACAAAAUAUUGGCUCUGUUUCUGGUGUUGGCUGUUGCUUCAAUAAUGAUACUCAACGUAGAGGGUGCAGGGUGGUUUCUAGGUCAAGACUGCUCUCCGGAAUGUGAUCGCAAUGAAAUAUGCAUUCAAGGAAGUUGUCUGCAACAGCAGAAGUCGGAUGAGGACUCAGCAUUAUGGAAAAGGGAUUAAUAUUAUCAAACAUUAUGAUCAAGAACAUACUUCUACAUAUUAAAAUGACUAUAAACGUUGUAUCAUAAAUAAAUGUAACUCAU